GACGAACGCUGGCGGCGUGCCUAAUACAUGCAAGUCGAACGCAGUGGGGACGGGUGAGUCACACGUGGGUAACCUCCAAACAGAGGGGAUAACACUUGGAAACAGGUGCUAAACCGAUACUGAUGGAUGGACCCGCGGUGCAUUACCUAGGUGGUUAUGUAACGGCUCACCAAGGCCACGAGGCAUAGCCGACCUUAGAGGGUGAUCGGCCACACGGGGACUGAGACACGGCCCAGACUCCUACGUGAGGUAGCAGUAGGGAAUCUUCGGCAAUGGACGAAAGUCUGACCGAGCAACGCCGCGUGAGUGAAGAAGGUUUUCGGAUCGUAAAACUCUGUUGUUAGAUAAGCGGUAUCUAACCAGAAAGCCACGGCUAACUACGUGCCAGCAGCCGCAGUAAUAC
rnacentral:rRNA from 1 species